GAAGUCAAAUGCAGUUGAGAGCUGUCCUGUGCCAUCAAUCCAAUCGAUAAUCCGUUGCCGGUGGCUAUCUGGAGAAGGCAUUGAUGGAAAAAUGUAAGAAAUAUUGAUAUAAUAGUGGAAAUCAUGCUCUGUAUAAAGCAACAUUCUAAAAGCUAAAUGAGAAAUUUUAAAGAUAAAAAGGAAAAGGAAGAGGGAGUGAGGAAGUAACAUGUCAUAAGCCAUAGCUGAAAGAACACCAAGCAAAUGAGAUCAAAGGGAUCCAUAUCAAGAUCAAAUCUCCCACACCAGUAAUCAGCAACCCAAGAAACAUGAUUUGAACAGCGCAAGUGAUGCAAACAGUAAUGGAACUCCAUAUGGGAAUUAGAUUAAUAAUUAUGGCAGGUUAUUGUUUGCAGCAUAGCGGCACAGGAAAUUUCUGUAAUCAGAAGCAUUUAAGUAAUUUCACUAUUUUGCUGCAAAAGGCUGCACUACAGUGUCUUGGGUCUUAAUUUAGGUCUAUUUAGUUUUGAGUCUGAGCACGGAGUCCUAACAAGUCUAGUAGUUAGUUUUAGUUUUGUGGAGUUCAAGUAUUUGGAUUAGGAUUUAUGUUGAGACUUUAAAUACCAAAACCUGUUUGGGAGCAAGACUUAGUUGUUGUAGUUUAAAUAACUAAACAGCUUAUUAAUCAAUUUUUUGUCAAUGAAUAAAUUCCAAAAAUAAUGGCUUCUUUAAGUUGUUGUGGUGCAUUUCUAAUUUUGGAAAGUGUGAGGCUUUUUUAUAGGAGUUGUAGUUCUUGCUAGUGUGAGACUAGUAUCUGACUAGUAGAUUUAUUUAGUUUGCUUAAUUUUCUCUCCAAUUUUUAUCUUUAAGCCCUAAUGUCUUGAGUUUAAAACUGAACCCUAAUCUAAAGAAUUCAAAAUUUUCCCAAGUUGGUUUACAUCAGCAACCAGUUUUUAAGAAGCCUUUAAUUGUGUACAUCUUUCUCACAAUUGAUUGAAAACUCAAGAUGGUGAUGAAAGAUUAUCCUAUUUUUAAAUCAACAAGCUCUUGUAUCUUAAGGAAACUAUUGUUAAGAAGAAAUACAGUAUCAGAAGUUCAAACAACCAACCUUAACUAUUAGAGCAUUUCUGACCUAAUACAGAAAAUAAUUUACAGAAACCCAAAUUUUUUAAGGACUUGCUCAAAAAGAACUAGGCACGUGGGUAUCCUAUAUGGACUAAAAUUCCACUUGUUUGGUCCUGAAAAAAGUAGACUAUUGAUGUAUGAUAAAACUCAACUCAACUCAACUA
rnacentral:misc_RNA from 1 species